GUUGUUCGGAGUUACUGGGCGUAAAGGGUGCGUAGGCGGCUGUUUAAGUUUGGCGUGAAAUCUCCCGGCUCAACUGGGAGGGCGCGCCGAAUACUGUAUGACUAGAGUGCGGGAGAGGAUAGUGGAAUUCCUGGUGUAGCGGUGAAAUGCGUAGAUAUCAGGAGGAACACCGGUGGUGUAGACGGCUAUCUGGACCGUAACUGACGCUGAGGCACGAAAGCGUGGGUAGCAAACAGG
rnacentral:rRNA from 1 species